rnacentral:rRNA from 1 species
AUGGGCGACCAAUCCGGAAGGUCAAGACGCGUUCCCAUCCCGACCACGGAAGUUAAUCCCUCCAGGGCCGAUGGUACUGGGCGGGCAACGGCGUGGGAGAGUCGGUCGUCGCCGGAU